CCAUGUCUCUCUCUCUCUCUCUCUCUGUUUAACAGUUGAAACUUGAAGAAAAGGUUCAAUAAAACAUUACUUUUCAUCAUUUUUUCCAUUCUUUAAUUUUCACCACAAAGCUGACAUGUUUUAAGAGGUGCAACCUAAUAUUGCCUGAACUCCAGGACCCACCACAAAGAUCUCUGGGUAACAGCAAGGGGAGGAAGUGCACGGACAGGAAGACGGGCGUGUAUGGAAAAGCACACUCCACUUGGCUGCAGCAGCACUCCCUUAAGUAACAACAUAUGGCAGCGGAGGAAUUCUUCUGAUUGACGGUCGCAUGAACGUCACCCUGUCGCUGUGGACACGUCCAUGUUGGAGGACUGAUAAGACUAGCCGUACCUAAUUCCUUUCCAUGUUCUCAUCUUGGAGUAGGCAUCACAAUGGGUAUGAUUCAUGGGGUAAUUCUGACAGCUACUGACUUGGCUCCCGCUCACAUUUGGGAAGAAUGUGACCUCACAAUACUGUUCUUUCAAAGGCCUAUCCCUGUCUGUUCUUCUCCCAGACCCGGCCUGAAGCACGCCUCUGUUCCUGAAGAGAGGGAAGUGGGGAGAAAUCGAGGGAUAGAAAUAGUGGAGAAAGUGAAAAUGUGUGUGUGUCUUUCCCAAAUUGCCAGCAAGCAUGGACAGCAUUAUUGUUCUCGCUCACUGACUGUAUAUGACAAAGGUCUACAUAUAACAGACCUCAUCUGUACAGCUGCAUCCCAAAUCAGAAAUAACCAUUACAAUUAAGAGAAUAGUGUUUGUGCAAAAUCUAUAAUUUAAGAAUUGGGGCUUUGAAUUGAAGUGUGAUUAUAUAUUUGUAGUUGAAUUUAAAUAUUUUGACCCUGUAAAUUAGCCAUAUACAAACCAUAAAAUAGCCAGUCUCUAAACAUUGGUCUCAAUCUCAGUCAUAAAUUCAUAGUUUGUAGAGAGCCCCAGCACUGGAUCUUCACAUCCAGUUGAAGUCAUGGAGCGUCUGCUAAUGGUCUGAGUUGAAUCAAGCGUAUUCAAUAUCACAGCCAAAUAGGGCACAAUGUACUGUUCAUAUUAAGGAAUUGUCCGUAUUAAUUUCUCCAUAUUCUCAAUAUUCCAUAUUGAUUUUUGUGUGAGAGAAAGAGAGAAGGCAAGAGGAGAAGAGAUGCUGUUGACUUUGCUCAUCAUGGGCCACCAACCUACUCACCACAAGCCUUCACUGAUGACCUGAGCAACAAGGAUGCCUGCAGCCAUGAGUUGCUAAAGGAAGAGUUGAGGCUACUACCGCUGAGCAGUAAGAUAAGCAUGUUAACACACCAAAAGAAACCUGCCACUAGGUCCUGUAGUUUGGGCGAUACGGCGCAACAAAGUCAUACCUUUCACUCCACAUGUCAAGAAAGAGAUGAAAUCCUUGAAGAUGAGGAAUCCCCACGCCAAAGGAGGAUAACUGUUGCAUCAUACAUUCCGCAGUCCAAAGACCAUACUGGAAAAAGUGUAGUGAAGUCGAAUUCUAAUGGGUAUAGAGCCAAAUCUUUAGCAGAGCUGAACACAGAGGAGGUUUGCCAGUGGUUUAGUAAUAUUGGUCUACAGAAAUGCCUGCCCUUCAUUAGAGAGGCAGAGUUCAGUGGGUCCCACAUCGCUUCUAUUGAUCUCAACACCCUCGAAAUCCUUCAAGUGUCCAAUCUGGAGGAAAGAGAGAGGCUGCUGUCUGCCAUUUACCAUGAGUUACACCCGCCAAACUCCACCACCCAAAGACUCGACUCCCUCCUUGAAAGAUUUGGUCCACACAAUGUUGAGAAAUUCACAGCAGCUUUGGUUUCCAUGACCAAGUCAAAAUCUUCUCCUCAAGUUAGCAGCAUCAACAUGAACCAAUGUUCAUUCAAAUUCAGACAGAAAGAACAAAAUGCAAAAAUUCAGAAGAACUCGCAUCUCAUUGAAAUCACAGUCAAUGUGUCAGAUCGAACAGUUCAUUUAAGGACCCCCAAAGAGACAAGUGUGGGAAAAGUGGUGGAGUCCUGUCUGAGGAUGCUGGGAAUUAAUGAAGACAAAGAUCACUUCAACCUAAAAAGCAGUGAAGAUGAGUUCUCCCCUGAGCAGCAGAUUGGAGAUUUGCCUGGCUCAGAGACGAGACUAAUGGAGCUUCACUUAUAUAGGAAGGAAACACAGAAAGUGGGUCCUUAUUCAUCAGAUAACAACAUUAUUAGUACCACUGACAAUAUUCCGUGCAAAAAUCUGCUAAACAACACUGGGAAGAUUCAAAAGCUAAAUCAACAGGUGGCCUCCCUUCAAAACGUCAUCAUACAGGUUCAGGAGCUUUACCAUGGUCUGGUAGCCUUCUGUUCAGAGCUGAAGAAGAUGGAGGGGGAGAUGGAUGCAGUGCAAACAGACAGCUUUGAAGUGAAGAGGCUUCUCAGUGAGGCCCAGGACAAUCUGCAAAGGAAAAGACAGAGUCUUCAAACGCUCAGGGACAAUCUUAACACUGCACCAGUGCAGAAGAAUAAGCCAUCAGAGGUCCGACUUCUGGAGAAGAUGAGGCUAAACUGCCAGGUGUUUAAAGACGAGAUCACACUAGUCCACCUCAAUCGACAGGUGGCUCACCUGCGUGAAGUUCUGGAGAAGACACAGGCCAAGGAGAAAGCCAAGAGGAAGAGCCCUACUCUGACUCAGCUGGUCUCUUUGCAGUCUCCUGUCAUGCUGGUGGCCACCCAAGUGAAAGCAGACCCAGACGGUCAUUACGGUUUCUCUGCGCACUGGGUAGAGGGCCAGGGCCUGAUGGUGGUACAUAGUGAGGGUGCUAAUCUCUGCCUGAAUGACAGGCUGGUGGAGGUUAACGGAGUGGACGUCUUGGGGAGCAGUGAGGAUGAGUUGGAGCUGAUGCUUAAGACACACACUGCCCACAUUGUUGUUCUUCGCCAGCUGGCCCAAGAACUUCCACAGGAAGACCCAUCUGCCCCCACUUCAGACAGAUUUCUGCUCUGAGGGAUCAACAGGACAUACAAAUGCUGCAGAAACAUCAAGCAAUGUAAACCAACUAAACACUGUCCAGAUUAAUACUUUCUUUCCUGUCUUACUGGAGGAACACACUCAGACACACCUGAAUUGGUCAUAUCUUAUGUUUUAUCCCACUUAUUACUAUAAUGACAUUUGUCUUGUAAGAGAAGAGGAUUAUAUGUUCACCCUGCAUUACAGUCUCUGGGUCAUUUCAGGGCAGUUUCAUUUUUGGGUGUUUUUGGGUUUAUACAAAUGUAAUAGCCAUAGUCUCAAUUAAUGGGUGGGUCAGUCAAAAACUGCUCAUAAAAAUGGCAAUUUUUGGCAAAAUGGGCAUUUUGAAUUCUAAAUUGCAUUGAACCAUGAAGGUCAAGUUGGCAAAAUAACUUUCACUUUGUACACUUUUUUAAAAAGCAGCUGUGGUGAAAUAGGAGGCAAGGAAACUUCCUGUAAGACUGACAUUAAUAAAAAUACAGAUAUCAAAGCAAAACUUCUUUUUUAAAUGGGUAAAUAUUUAUUUUUUAUUUAUUAUUACAAAGAUUGACUCAAGGAGCGUCAUGAAGUGAUGUAGUGAAAGUCCUAACCACAUGAUUGUAUUAAG
ensembl:lncRNA